CAACCUCAGAUCAGAUGUGGUGACCCGCCGAAUUUAAGCAUAUUACUAAACGGAGGAAAAGAAACUAACCAGGAUUCCUUCAGUAACGGCGAGUGAAAAGGGAAGAGCCCAGCGCCGAAUCCCCGCCCAGGUGAUGGGUUCAGGGAAAUGUGGCAUACUGAAGUCCAUCUCCUCAGCACCGCCCAGGGGGCCUAAGUCCUUGUGAUUGAGGCUCAGCCUGCGGACGGUCUGAGGUCGGUAGCCACCCCCGGCGUAUCGGGAUCAUGUCUUUCCGGAGUCGGGUUAUUUGUGAAUGCAGCCCAAAGUGGGUGGUAAACUCCAUCUAAGGCUAAACACCAGCAUGAGACCGAUAGUGGACAAGUAACAUAAGGGAAAGUUGAAAAGAACUUUGAAGAGAGAGUUCAAGAGGGCGUGAAACCAUUCAGUGGUAAACGGGUAGGGUCCACGCAGUCUGCCUGGAGGAUUCAAACCUGUGGCCGCACCGGCCGCCCGGGUGAGGUGGAUCCCCUCCCCCUCCAGGGGGUGAGGGACCAUCCCCAGGUGCGCCGGCUGCCGUCAAGUGCACUUCCUCCAAGGCGGUGCGCCGCGACCGGCUCUGGGUCGGCCAGGAAGGCCGCAUGGAAGGUGGCUCCCCUCCACAAAGGGGAGUGUUACAGCCCAUUUAAUCAGCCCUCGCCAUGCCCCGGGGUCGUGGGAGAUGACUGCCACUGCUGCACCCUACCCUGUCCUCGCAGUUGUAGACAGGGGCCCCUGGAUCCCGAUGGGACUGUUGACUGGGCCGGACUGCCCUCAGUGCGGUACGACCGUGUCCCACCGCUGGGCCAGCCAGCUCACCUCGGGUGCCCAGGGUCUGCAACGACAUUGGUGACCCACCUGUCCAUCUUGAAACACGGACCAAGGAGUCUACCAGGUGCACGAGUCCGAGGGUGGGCAGGAGACCCCACGGCACAAUGAAAUUGAGGGCUGGUGCACACCGGCUGAGGUGGAUCCCCCUGCCCCAUGCGGGGGGGUGCACCGUCGGCCCAUUUCACCCAUCCCGUCUGGGAGGUGGAGCGUGAGCGCACCUGGUGAGACCCGAAAGAUGGUGAACUAUGCCUGGGCAGGGUGAAGCCAGAGGAAACUCUGGUGGAGGUCUGUAGCAGACCAGACAUGCAAAUCAGUCAUCUGACCUGGGUAUAGGGGUAAAAGACUAAUCGAACCAUCUAGUAGCUGGUUCCCUCUGAAGUUUCCCUCAGGAUAGCUGGCGCUCGGAGGACGCAGUUUUAUCUGGUAAAGCGAAUGAUUAGAGGUCUUGGGGUCGAAACGAUCUCAAUAUAUUCUCAAACUUUAAAUGGGUAAGAAGCCCGACUCGCUGGCUUGGAACCAGGCGUGGAAUGCGAGCGCACAGUGGGCAACUUUUGGUAAGCAGAACUGGUGCUGCAGGAUGAACCGAAUGUCGGGUUAAGGCACAUGAUGCCGAUGCUCAUCAGACCCCAGAAAAGGUGUUGGUUGAUAUAGACAGUAGGACGGUGGCCAUUGAAGUCGGAAUCCACUAAGGAGUGUGUAGCAACUCACCUGCCGAACCAACUAGCCCUGAAUAUGGAUGGCGCUGGAGCGUCGGGCCCAGACCACUAGGAGCCGAGGGGGCUAUGCCGCGAUGAGUAGGAUGGCCACUGCAGUGACACUGAAGCCCAGGGCGAGGGCCCGGGUGGAGUCGCCGUGGGUGGAGAUCUUGGUAGUAGUAGCAAAUAUUCAAAUGAGAGCUCUGAAGGCCGAAGUGGAGAAGGGUUCCAUAUGAACAGCAGUUGAACAUGGGUCAGUCGGUCCUGAGAGAUAGGCGAGUGCCGUUCUGAAGGGAUGGGUGAUGGCAUCCGUCGCCCUCGGCUGAUCAAAAGGGAGUUGCAUUCAGAUCCGCGAAUCCGGAGUGGCAGAGACAGGUGCCUCGCAGCAUCCAGUGCGGUUACGCAAAUGAUCCUGGAGAAGCCGGUGAGGGCCCCUGGGAGAGUUCUCUUUUCUUUGUAAAGGACAGGGUGCCCUGGAAUAGGUUUGCCCUGAGAGAGAGGCCCAUGCCCUGGAAAGAGUCGCAGUUCCGGUGGCGUCAGCUGAGCUCUCGCCGGCCCUUGAAAAUCUGGGGGAGAGGGUGUAAGUCUUAUGCUGGGCCGUACCCAUAUCCACAGCAGGUCUCCAAGGUGAACAGCCUCUGGCAUGUUAGAACAAUGUAGGUAAGGGAAGUCGGCAAGCCAGAUCCGUAACUUUGGGAUAAGGAUUGGCUCUAAGGGCUGGGUCGGUCGGGCUUGGGCAUGAAGCGGGGCUGGGCAUGCGCUACGGCUGGAUGAGGUGUCACCAGCCCUUGCUGUGCUCCCCCCUCCUGGGAGGCCAGCUGAUUUUGGCAGGGACUACUCUGGACAUGCACCGGUCCAUUCCUGUGGAUCGCCCUGGCUGUGGCAGAUGCUGGUCCCGACCGGUGUCUUGCAUCAUCCGGCAGCUAGCAGCUGGCUUAGAGCUGGUGCAGACCAGAGGA